rnacentral:rRNA from 1 species
GACGUAGGAGGCGAGCGUUAUCCGGAUUUACUGGGCGUAAAGCGCACGCAGGUGGCCCGCUAAGUUGGCUGUGAAAGCUCCUGGCUUAACUGGGAGAGGUCGGUCAAGACUGGCGGGCUUGAGGUUGGGAGAGGGGUGUGGAAUUCCCGGUGUAGUGGUGGAAUGCGUAGAUAUCGGGAGGAACACCAGUGGCGAAGGCGGCACCCUGGCCCACACCUGACGCUGAGGUGCGAAAGCGAGGGGAGCGAACGGG